rnacentral:tRNA from 1 species
AUUUUAGUGUCCAAGUGGUAAAUGCGAUAGACUAGAAAUCUAUUGGGAUCUUCCCGCGCAGGUUCGAAUCCUGCCGGCAACG